AAGUCGUAACAAGGUUUCCGUAGGUGAACCUGCGGAAGGAUCAUUAACAAAUGAAACGAAAAUACAACCAACCUUGUGUGCAUUCUUUAAAAAAAAAAAUUUUUCUCGAAGGAAAAAAAAUUUUUCUUUCUCGAAAAAUAUAUAAUCAACUCUUCUAAAAAAAAAAUCAUGUUGAACCUUUUUUUUGAUAUAACAAAAAUAAAACAACUUUCAACAACGGAUCUCUUGGCUCUC
rnacentral:misc_RNA from 1 species